CGCAUCUGUGCAUGCAGCAUAUCAAUAAGCGGAGGAAAAGAAACUAACAAGGAUUCCCCUAGUAACGGCGAGUGAAGCGGGAAGAGCUCAAAUUUGAAAUCUUAAAGGGUUUCCCUUUACGAAUUGUAGUUUAGAGAAGUGUUUUCUGUUGAGGUUUUGGUAAAAGUUCUUUGGAAUAGGACAUCAUAGGGGGUGAGAAUCCCGUAUUUGACCUUUACUUUCAGCUUUGUGAUACACUUUCAAAGAGUCGGAUUGUUUGGGAAUGCAGUCCAAAAUGGGUGGUAAAUUCCAUCUAAAGCUAAAUAUUGGCGAGAGACCGAUAGCGAACAAGUACCGUGAGGGAAAGAUGAAAAGAACUUUGAAAAGAGAGUUAAACAGUACGUGAAAUUGUCAAAAGGGAAGCGCUUGACACCAGUGUUGUUUUUCUGAAAAUCAAUUAAAGAACUGUUUAUGCUAAGCUGUUUAGACUUUAUCAGCUAUCUGUUUAGUUUUGAGCUUUUCUUUAAUGCACUUUUCAGUUAACAAGUCAACAUCAAUUUCUUUUGCUGUAAAAAAGCUUGAGGAAGGUGGCUUGAGAUUCGUCUUAAGUGUUUAUAGCCUCUUGCCUAUGCAGUCGGAGAGAUUGAGGCCUGCAGCGUAGAUCCUUCGGGGCUAAAUGCAUUUGUGCUAAGUUAUAGCAUUUUAUAGACAACUUGUUGACUAUGAUUUGUCUUGUAGCUUACUCGCUUAUGUUAUUUUACCUACGCUUAGGAUGUUGAAUCUGUGCGAGACUAC
rnacentral:rRNA from 1 species